rnacentral:rRNA from 1 species
UACGUAGGGUGCAAGCGUUAUCCGGAAUUAUUGGGCGUAAAGAGCUCGUAGGCGGUUUGUCGCGUCUGCUGUGAAAUUUCGGGGCUCAACCCCGAACUUGCAGUGGGUACGGGCAGACUAGAGUGUGGUAGGGGAGACUGGAAUUCCUGGUGUAGCGGUGAAAUGCGCAGAUAUCAGGAGGAACACCGAUGGCGAAGGCAGGUCUCUGGGCCAUAACUGACGCUGAGAAGCGAAAGCAUGGGGAGCGAACAGG